UACGUAGGGUGCGAGCGUUGUCCGGAAUUAUUGGGCGUAAAGGGCUCGUAGGCGGUUUGUCGCGUCGGGAGUGAAACUCAGGGCUUAACCCUGAGCCUGCUUCCGAUACGGGCAGACUAGAGGUAUGCAGGGGAGAAUGGAAUUCCUGGUGUAGCGGUGAAAUGCGCAGAUAUCAGGAGGAACACCGGUGGCGAAGGCGGUUCUCUGGGCAUUACCUGACGCUGAGGAGCGAAAGUGUGGGGAGCGAACAGG
rnacentral:rRNA from 1 species